GCAUGGUUAGCUCAGUCGGUAGAGCGCUCCACUGGAAAUGGAGAGGUCACUGGUUUGUGUU
rnacentral:tRNA from 1 species